UCCCGGGCUCAGCGCAGCAUCAGCCGGCGCUGCCUGGCGGCCCCGCGUGGUCUUCCUGCCCGCUGCAGCCCUGGGCAACUCCGGCGUGUAGGGCGGAGGGGGGAACAGGCUUCACGCGGCGCUGAGCUCCGAACUCUAACGUGUCCCUGAGCAGGCGACCGCGGGCACAGGGAUGAGCCGCUUUCUGAACGUGCUGCGCAGCUGGCUGGUGAUGGUGUCCAUCGUGGCGCUGGGGAACACGCUGCAGAGUUUCCGCGACCACGGCUUUCUGUCCGAGAAGCUGUACACGGACGCGCCCAGCCUCGUGAAUGGGCUUCAGGCUCGGACCUUUGGCAUCUGGACCCUGCUUGCAUCAGUGAUUCGUUGUGCCUGUGCCAUAGACAUCCUCAACAAGACUGGCAACUCUAUUCAGGAUCACAUGGCCUGUAGAAUGAUGCACCUGGCUAGGUCUCAAGAGGGCAUGUCCUUGGUUCCUCUAUCACAUCACCCUUUUCAGCUUCUUCGUAGUUCUGGCCCACUUCCUCGCUGAAGUGUUCAUUUACCACACAGCAGCCCUGACAAUCGGUGUGAUGGCUCCCCUGAUGGUAGCAAGUUUCUCUAUCCUGGGUAUGUUGAUUGGGCUGCAGUACCUGGAGGUGGAAGCAGUAUCACGAAACAAGAAGAGGAACUGAACUCAAAGGACCCACAUGUCAAAAUCACCUGCCUGCUGCCUCUAGACCUUCACUGCCAAACACCUGCUGUCUUAGGCCCAAACUGCCUCUCCUCCAGCCCUGUACAUAAAAAUCAUAGAGGUACAGGACUGGAAGGAAUAAGAAUUCACCUAGUUCAACUCCAUACUCGAGGCAGGACGGUCUCUGAGGCAUCCUAGACACUUUCUGGACAUCUCAUCAAAUUCUUCUUUGUUAUCAACUGGUCUUAUCUGCGCAGGCAACAUUUUAACUGUGACCAGUGUCAAGAGUCUGUCCCUGCACAGCUGCUCUGAUAUCUGCCAGUACCUAUCCCCAUGCAGGGUGAGGCUCAUGGGGAUAGUGAGGGGAUUUAUUGUCAACUGCGCCCAGCAUAGUUUAGCCAAGUUCUUCCCCAGAAGGGAGGAAGGAGUUGAAAUACCCAUGAUCCAUUGGGGAUCCCUGCAGGGGAGAUGCUGAGUCCAGCCCCCUGGCACUGCUGUGUAGUUUGCAUGCAUCUGUGUUCACAGAAACCAUUUGUAAUAAACCACAGAGAACUGUG